AGGGUGUAAACGCUGCAGACUUGGUGUUGGAAGUCCUUUGGGGGCAUUCAGUGCCGGAGAGAAGUUGUUAAGUCUGCUACUUGGGGAGUACGUCCGCAAGGAUGAAACUUAAAGGAAUUGGCGGGGGAGCACCGCAACGGGAGGAGCGUGCGGUUUAAUUGGAUUCAACGCCGUAAAACUCACCAGGGAAGACUGUUACAUGAAGGCCGAGAUGAAGACUCUGCUAGAUUUUCAGAGAGGAGGUGCAUGGCGUCAGUGACU
rnacentral:rRNA from 1 species